GGAUUGUACCUCAGUGGUAGAGUGCUUGUCUAUCACAUGUGAGGCACUAGGUUCGAUCCUCAGCACCA
rnacentral:tRNA from 1 species